AGUGCAAGUGGUUCCCACAAAUGCCUCCUUCUUUUCCCUCUUCCUUGAGGACACACUGCUGCUAUCCUUCGUGGCUACAAACUGCCCAAGAUUCAUUGUGCGCCCAAAGAGAAGAAACAAAUAAAUAAAUAAUGGUGACCUCAAGAGGUGCAGAUCCCGCAUUUAAAUGGAGUCUGGUUCACCCAAGGAAGGAGCAACCAUCCAGCCAUUGGAUUCCUUGAAGAGAGGCUUCGGAACAGCAGAGAGAGGCUGAGAUCGCAGAGCAGCUCACGCAGCCGAGACCGCCACAAAGCAGUGAAGAAGGCGCCUGUAGGACACGCAUACCAGAAAGAGCCAUACAGUUUAAAGACUGGCUGAGACACGUGACAUGACAGUUCGCAGCCCCUCAGCAAGGUGGAGCUAUACGUGCUGGAUACAGCAGUGUACAGGUCCAAGAUGAUCAGGGGAAACAAGUGGGACAUCCAGGAGACCUGCCAAGAGUUUCUGUAUCUACUCACUCCAGGCAUGGUAAAUUAGGAAGGACUAUAUGUUGAGGAUUCAUUGUUAAUAACAAUCUUUUAUCUGCAUGUUAGCUGCCACAUUUAAUUUGUUUUAGGUUGCACAAGACUUUGAAGUCUUACAUGGAGAGACUGCAUCAGAACUCUUCGAAACCUGGCCGCCGUUUUAUGCCAAAAAGAUUCUGUCCCUGGCGACACGGGAAGGGAAUAGUGUUGUUUUUGGCGGCCUGUUUUAAUUUUAGUUUUAGCCUAGUCUUUGUGUAAAACUGUCAUUUUAGGUUUUAUUAGUUUUAGUCACGUUUGUAAUCUUUUUAGACUAGUCAAGUUUCAGUCGACUAAAAGUCUGAGCAUUUUAGUCAGAAUUAUCCAUGACUAUUUUCGUCUAGUUUUAGUCAAUGAAAUUGUACUUAAGUCUCCUGCCCUUUGCUUCUGUUAUUUUUGCGUGACACCACAUAGAGAUAUUGAACUAGUGAUACUUUGGUCUGUCAUCCACAUCGGUGCAUCCACAGUUGAAUGAAUGUUUGGUGAGAUUAUCGCACUUUCCAGCACAAUCCUUGUGCAGCCAGUCCUUGCACAUUUGGCACUGCACCCAUUCCAGAGACUCCACAUCUGGGUAUAUAAGUCUUAUCACAUAAAGGACAUGUUAGAAAUUAAAUACUCAUACACUAUCCAAUUGUUAUCCUUGUACAGUGUGCAUGUGUUAUGUGUAUUAAGGUCCUUCUUGGUAACUAAGCUGAGUGUCCUGCUCAGCCUUUCUCUUUAGCCUGAAGACUGGAGCAUGCUUUCCCUCAAGAGCUCCUAACAUUCCCUGGUCCAGUGGGCAAAGACUUUUCCAUAACUGAAAUGAAACUAUAUCAUUAAAAUGUAAAUACAGGGAAGUUGAACAACUCACUUCCAGUCCCCA